rnacentral:rRNA from 1 species
GACGAACGCUGGCGGCGUGCUUAACACAUGCAAGUCGAACGGAAAGGCCCUGCUUUUGUGGGGUGCUCGAGUGGCGAACGGGUGAGUAACACGUGAGUAACCUGCCCUUGACUUUGGGAUAACUUCAGGAAACUGGGGCUAAUACCGGAUAGGAGCUCCUGCUGCAUGGUGGGGGUUGGAAAGUUUCGGCGGUUGGGGAUGGACUCGCGGCUUAUCAGCUUGUUGGUGGGGUAGUGGCUUACCAAGGCUUUGACGGGUAGCCGGCCUGAGAGGGUGACCGGCCACAUUGGGACUGAGAUACGGCCCAGACUCCUACGGGAGGCAGCAGUGGGGAAUAUUGCACAAUGGGCGGAAGCCUGAUUCAGCAACGCCGCGUGCGGGAUGACGGCCUUCGGGUUGUAAACCGCUUUCGCCUGUGACGAAGCGUGAGUGACGGUAAUGGGUAAAGAAGCACCGGCUAACUACGUG